rnacentral:rRNA from 1 species
AGAGUUUGAUCCUGGCUCAGAAUGAACGCUGGCGGCGUGCCUAACACAUGCAAGUCGCACGAGAAAGGCUGGGUUUCGGCUUGGCCGAGUAAAGUGGCGCACGGGUGAGUAACGCGUGGGUGACCUACCCUCGAAUCUGGGAUAACCUCGCGAAAGCGGGGCUAAUACCGGAUACGUCCCUUCGGGGAGAAAGCCGGCCUCUCGAAGAAGCUGGUGUUCGGGGAUGGGCCCGCGUCCUAUCGGCUAGUUGGUAGGGUAACGGCCUACCAAGGCGACGACGGGUAGCUGGUCUGAGAGGAUGAUCAGCCACACUGGCACUGGAACACGGGCCAGACUCCUACGGGAGGCAGCAGUGAGGAAUUUUGCGCAAUGGGAGCAAUCCUGACGCAGCAACGCCGCGUGGGUGAAGAAGGCCUUCGGGUCGUAAAGCCCUGUCAGGAGGGAAGAACCUCGCUGGGGCGAAUAGCCUUGGCGACUGACGGUACCUCCAGAGGAAGCACCGGCUAACUCCGUGCCAGCAGCCGCGGUAAUACGGAGGGUGCGUGCGUUAUUCGGAAUUACUGGGCGUAAAGCGCGUGUAGGCGGCAGGGCAAGUCUGGUGUGAAAGCCCGGGGCUCAACCCCGGAAGUGCAUUGGAAACUGCUCUGCUUGAGUACCGGAGAGGAAGGGGGAAUUCCCGGUGUAGCGGUGAAAUGCGUAGAUAUCGGGAGGAAUACCAGUGGCGAAGGCGCCCUUCUGGACGGUCACUGACGCUGAGACGCGAAAGCGUGGGGAGCAAACAGGAUUAGAUACCCUGGUAGUCCACGCCGUAAACGAUGGGCACUAGGUGAAGCCGGUAUUGACCCCUG